rnacentral:rRNA from 1 species
UACGUAGGUGACAAGCGUUGUCCGGAUUUACUGGGCGUAAAGAGCGCGCAGGCGGUCGUUCAAGUCGAGUGUGAAAGCCCCCGGCUCAACUGGGGAGGGUCAUCGAUACUGAUCGACUCGAAGGCAGGAGAGGGUAGUGGAAUUCCCGGUGUAGUGGUGAAAUGCGUAGAUAUCGGGAGGAACACCAGUGGCGAAGGGCGGAUCCUCGGCCGUAUGACGCUGAUGAGCGAAAGCGUGGGGAGCAAACAGGG